GUGCCAGCAGCCGCGGUAAUACCAGCACCCCGAGUGGUCGGGACGAUUAUUGGGCCUAAAGCAUCCGUAGCCGGUUCUGCAAGUCUUCCGUUAAAUCCAUCUGCUUAACAGAUGGGCUGCAGAGGAUACUAUAGAGCUAGGAGGCGGGAGAGGCAAGCGGUACUUAGUGGGUAGGGGUAAAAUCCGUUGAUCCACUGAAGACCACCAGUGGCGAAGGCGGCUUGCCAGAACGCACUCGACGGUGAGGGAUGAAAGCUGGGGGAGCAAACCGGAUUAGAAACCCUCGUAGUCC
rnacentral:rRNA from 1 species